CUCUCGGAAAGACAUCUGCUUUUCUUUCUUGUUUAAAAGUUUAAUAGGCUUAAUUUAGAGCAGUGUUGUCGUUUGGAUAUGGACAGCCUCCUGUGUCGAACUGUCCCCAACACAGCAAUUUUCAGAGUCCAGGAAGUGGUUGGAUCAUGAGGCCUCAGACUCCUCGGGUCUUUGCUCAGUGAAGACUAUUAAGAGGGGCACAACUGCAGAAGGCAUGGUCGGUUGGUCUCGCGCUCUCUCUCCUUCCUGUCAGCCACGAGGUGAGCAGCUGUGCUCCUCCAGACUCCUGGCUUCACUAAAGGCCCACAGCCAUGGGGGCAAGAGGUUUCUGUGCUCUUCAGCUUCCUGCUCAGCACUAGUGAACUCUCCUGUCUGAGCACCACGAUGACAGAAGCAGAGACUUCAGUGGAAAUGUUAAGGACAGACCUUGAAUUCACAGGUGGCCUGGAGAAAGCAGGACGUGGUAAAACUCUUCAAGGAAACUUUCCACCAGUUUCAUCUCCUGUAACUCCUAUCAGAGUUUAUUAUUGGUGCUUUAUCAUUAUCUUAGUCCUAAUUACAAUUGUCAUUGCACUUCCCAUUAUUUUGUCAGCAAAAACGACCAAGCCAAUCUUAGAGAACCCUGUGUUUGCUACCUGCCCAAAAGAUUGGAUUGGAUUUGGAAGCAAGUGUUUUUAUUUUUCUGACGAUAUAGGGAAUUGGACAUUCAGUCAGACCUUUUGUGCUUCCUUAGAAGCCAGUCUUGUUCAGUUUGAAAGCCAUGAGGAACUGAAUUUCCUGAUAAGAUAUAAAGGCCUUUCUGAUCAUUGGAUUGGCCUUAACAGAGAAUCAUCACAUCACGUUUGGAAGUGGACAGACAAAACUGAAUAUAAAUCCUCGUUGAAACCCUCCAGGAACUGGCAAGACAACAGCUCUGGCCACAAUCAAGACCAAGCCCCACCGGGAUGUGGUUCUAUAUGGGAUAAACAUGGUCCUGGGGAGUAAGAACCAGCUGACACAGGCAGAGGGUGCUUUGUGACUGAAGAAAGAGACAAAUCUGGGACUGCUGAAAGUGCAAUUUAUUGUGGACUUAUGGACAGAAGCAUGUCUGGACAUGGGGCAAGAUACGUAUAUUCCUGCAUCUCAAGCCAGAUGGAAGGAAUUUAUAUGCUAAGCUAAACAUAGAAAGGAAUAACAUUAGAAUAUAAAUGCCAAGAAAAUUCCUCUUCUAAUUAGUAAAUGGAGAUUAUGGACAUUUUCUUUGUGUAAUCAAGUCCUCACCAUCUCAUUUGGAUGGUAAGUAGCGAUCACAGCUGCAAGUUGUUCUUUGCAGGUUGUCUGGCUCAUAUUUCGUUUCUUUGAAAAUCACUAUGAGGCUUCUCAUAAACUUUAUCUCUGACGGACAAAACUGAGCUCUAGAGACCUCUGGUGGGAAAAGGCAAAUAAGGCAAUGAGAAGACUGUCCGCAUGUUGUGCCCUGGAAACUGUGAAGAGCGUUGUCUGUUUCUGCUGCCCUCUGCACCACCUUUCAGGGUCCUCUCCACCUCCCGGUCCAUACCGGAAAACCUUGAGGCUUCUGACCUGAUCUGUUGUCCUCUGCCAGAAUUGCACCUGUCAAAGUCACCAGUGAUCUCCACUUAGUCAAAAUAAGAAUCAGAAUGCCUCCUACCUCAGCCUCUUUCUGGCCUCUGCCUCCCUCGCUGAGAGGCAGCAAGCCUCACUCCCACUUCCAGAUGAAGGUUGGGAGGAGGUAGCAAGAAGUCUGCACUCCAGGAAGGAAAAUGGGUCACAGUUGGGGAAAGAAUUCACAGCUCAACGCUCAGGAAACCCCACCUGCAGAAACCUCUACUUUCACAUCGUGAAACAGAAAUAAACGUGAUGAAGGUAUUAAUAUCUUGGUGGUACUGGGGGGACCGUUUUCGUAUCUACCACAAUCUAAAGUAAACUUCUGCUGGACCUAAUAUUCCUGUGUGCACAAUACCCUUAAAUCCAUCGAGCUGCAAGUUUGAUCUGCAGUCAGCUGUAAAGAUGAUACCAUUACUUCAAAACUAAAUUACAGCGGAGAAGAUAAUUUUCAAGAUAAAAAAUAGGUAAUAUAAAAUCUACCCCUAUAAUAAUAGAAAACUAUUUUUAAGAAAACGCAGGGUUCUGCCUCUUGGGUGGAUUGAGGUGGUGCUCCCUCCACCCAGGAGAAGGAUCGCCUUCUGUAAUUCAACAUAGGAUGGUGCCCUAUUUGCCAAAAGUACCCUCCCAACACGCACACAGGCACCCAGGGGUGCUUUUUCUCAUUUGUACAAAGGACACCAGAGGGCUAGCAGAGAGCUUCUCCCCACCUCUCAGAGUUCACGGAAGCAGGGAUCCAAUUCUCUUCAGUCAUAUCUGGCAAGACGCCUGCAAACCAUAGGCCCCAGAGGUUUACUUGAAGAGGAUGCCUAAAUGACAGACUUUAAACUGUGGAAGGGUCAUGGGGCUGGUUGGUUAUAUAAAGCUCAACUUUUCAAGCCUGGAAGGCCUCUUCUGACUUUGCUGAGAAAGGAAGUGAGUUUGCCAAGAGCAUCCAGUGCACAGGCCUGAGGAUUAUGAUGCAGGGCACAGGCUGCCUGGUGGGAAUCCUCAGCUCUCUUUGACCCUAGGAUGCUAUUCAACUUCUUUGUAUUACAUUUUUGUCUUCUAUAAAAUGAGCCAAAUAAAUAACUGUAGCUAUCAUCUACAGUUUUGUUUUGCUCUCAUGCUUGUCCAAAGGGCUGAAAUCACCCAGGAGUCAGAGUUUGUGCUCCAGUGAAGGACUACCUCAGAGUCCCGUGGGAAAGGAGGUCACCAGUCACCUUAGACUACUUGCACCUCAAAGGCUAGACAACUGGAUUGAUAAAAAUCCAUUUGCUUCUUAGAUAAAAAAAAAAAAAACAUCCAAUUUACAGAUGAUUACAAAUCUAAGCAAAAACCCUCAACUGAAAUUACAAGAGCAUAUAUACUGAGAACUGGAAUUACUCAUUUUAAACAAAAAAAUCUCACUAUGGGAAUGAAGCAUCAGGGGCACAGAGCAAUGGAGAGUUACAUUAUUAGACCAUGCAGUGGCUGAUCUUCUGGAAUCUACUCCAGAUGGAUUAGAGAUACUGGUACAACUCUAUCUGUGCCAAAUUUGUAGAUACAACCAAUACCUCAGAGCUAAAACUUAAAGAUUUGAAACCUCCUCCUUCUGACAAAAACAAAACAAAACAAAACAAAACAAAAUCCCAAAAUUUAAGAACCAUCUGCAUCCACCAAGAGAGUCAACACUGCUCCUAAUCCUGUGAAAUACUGUGUAGAGGUAGAAGGUUAUCAUGCUGCUUCCUCCAAAGCAAUCUCUGUCUCUUUUAUGUGGAAUAAUUAACUUUGGUCCACAAUCUCAUUUUAAAAAAAACAGUGAUGACAUCUGUCAGAAACUUGUACACAUUUCCACUCCUCCAAUAACUAAAAAUGGCCUCUUCUCAAUUGUGCUAAAUCUGGACACUGAAAAUUUUCAGUUCCUCAUUAGUGUACCUGGGUUCUGUUUCUUCUCCUUUUAUUGUAGGGGAAAGGUCACAGUCUUACAACCUGUGGUGCUCCUUGUGAGUCACCCAGUGACUGCCAAGCCUCCUGUCAGUACAGAGGAAGGGCAGAGUAGUUCUGUCAAUAAACUAAGAGACAUCCCAAAACUCAGGAAAAUAGCUCCUCUUAUAAUGAACAGUAAUAGCAACCACUGCACCCUGCUGCUUGACCACCAUUUAUCCAAACUUCUUUUACAUUCCCAAGGUCCAGCCCAGAACAGAUGUGAUAGUUUUCUGCCUGCAGUCCACUCUGGAGAGGUUGCUGCCAAACUGAGUACAGUUACUCUUCCUUGAAAUAUAGUAUCUCUGAACCGAUGAUCAAGAUUAAUAUCCUUUGAUGCACAGGGCGGCUAUUAAAUGUUGACUCUCCACUUCCCUAACCAACUACACACACACACACACACACACACACACACACACACUGAAUUAAAAUAUAAGAAUUGGUGCUAGGUCUUUUAAUACCUAAAGAGUAAUUAUCACUAUUGGUAAUUAAUAGUCAUCCUGCUUUAGAACUUCAUGAAAAGGUAUAAUUGACUUUCUUUUCCUUAAAUGAGAAAUAAUCACCUGUUGUUGAUUUCAUUUGCUGCUUUAUUGAUCACCUUGCAUGUUCUACAACAGUGACUUCAACAAAAGGAUAAAGAAAGAUUUUAGUUGUAAGGUUCAUUAAUAGCUAAGUGAGCAUACAUCCAAUGUUUGCUAACUCAUUCCCAUUCCUUAAGUACAAAUGCUUAUAAGUAUGUUAAAGAUUAUUUUAUGGUGAAAUAAGGAUCUGGAAAACCACAGAUGCAAAAUGACGGGUUUAGUUUAACUCUGUUUCAAUGAUGAAUUAUUUAGUGUGGAAGAUUUAUUUUAUAUUUUAUUACCAAAUUAAUGUCUAAUUAAUGGAAGUUUUAGAGUUCUUUAAAAUAUUAUUAGUUUGUAAUAUUUGAUCUUUAUAACUUUAGAACUUGAAUUGCAUAAGGAGAAUUUCAAAUUAGUAUUUUCUGUAUUUGACUUUCUUUUUGAUAAAUUCUAUGUCAAAAGGUCUUAAAAGAAAUGUCUGAAAAUUACUCUAUUACAAUAAUUAUUUCACAGUUGAUAUGUAGAAAAGAAUAAGGGUUAUUUUUUAUCCAUCUGAAAAAAUUAAAAGACUAUUUGGGGUUUCAGAAAUUCUGAUUUUGAUUCUAGUAAAAUGAUAAAGUAAAAUCAUUUUGUAGGUAUACAAUGAAUACCAGCUCUUCCUGGCAAAUGUCACAAACCUAGAUAUUAUAAAGAACAAAGAGAAUAAAUGUUUUGCAAAUUAAAUUUUUUAAUAUUAGUAUCUGGUCCUACAUAAUAAUGUCAUUUUAUCACUUCAUUAGAA